rnacentral:lncRNA from 1 species
AAGGCGCAUGUAUAUAGAUUUUACAAUACACACAGACAGACCUCAGUCUCAAUUGAGACAGAUGAUUACUGAUUCCAACUCUUUUUUUUUUUUCUCAACUAGGACAUAUAUAUACUUAUUACAUAAUAGAAGUGAUAUUUGAUAAAGUGGUGAAGUGUUCUUCCAAGGUCACCCCCUCAUUUCUUGUUUUUCAGGUGUUGCCAGUUGGUUCAGUUGCAGUUGGUGUCGUAGCUUGCAAGACCGAUUAGUUCCGGUCCCUCCAACCUCGAGUUGUUCUCAAAGCUGCAACAAUUGUUUUUGAGUUAUUAGGAUCAAAAUGCUCAUAUGCAACUUUUAUCAGUUUAUAUAGAAUAUCAAAGAAGCUUUGUAAUAUGGGUGAGAAGAUGGAAAAUGGAAGAGGAAACAGUAUCAAGAAACUUCUUGGGCAAGUGCAAGACAAAAGUAACUUACUUCUGCAAAGGAAUGUGUGCAAAGGGUCCUUCCGUUGGGAUAGUUCCACACAAAUCAUUGUUUGAUACAUCACUGAUGAAAUGAUGACAAAUCAAGAGGAAUGAGUCAGUAGGUUGGAGAGACAGCAGCAGAGAGUUUAGCAAAACAAGCACAAAAUGAGAAAGCUGAACUUACACAACUUUAAGGCUUGCGAUUUUGGUGAGCUCUUUAGGGAUUGGACCAGUCAAUUUGUUGUCGUUGAGCCGUCUGCAACAUUAAACAGUUCCUUAAGAGAGGCGAGGUAAGAAGAGAAAGCGUAAGAAGAGAAUCAAGUAGUUUUGUGAAUUAUAGAGUGUAAAACAAGUUACUUUAAUCAGCCCUAUAAUUUGCAAUUUCCAAAGUGUAUCUGUUUCAGGAUCUUAGAACAACUUACAAAAAGACCAGAGACUUCAAUUUUCCCAAAGAAGAAGGGAUUUUUCCAGUAAGAUUGUUGUUGUAGAGAUCCAAGCUGAUGAGGUUCUUCAGAUUGUCAAGUUCAGAAGGUAUAGUCCCUUCGAUGUUGUUUUUGUACAGCUCCCUGAGUCGAUCAAUUAUAACACAAGUAAUAAAGUUAGUUUACAUUGUUACAAAAUCAAUCUCACAGUUUCAAAAAAAAAAAAAAUCAAUCUCAUAGUGGGUGCUUUAGCUUGCGCUUUAUGGUACGUAACUUUAUUUUCACUAUCUAAUUUUAUCCUAGCUGGUAGUGGAAAAAAAAGUUAAAUUUUUUAUGGAAAAGUGCAAAGCCAAAAGAGUGAUGACAUACAAAUACUGUAAAUGUUCGAGCUUCCCAAGCUCAGGUGCAAGAUGUCCUGAAAGGUUUGAAUUGCCUAAAUCCCUGCCAAAAAUUAAAAAAAAAACGUUGAAUCAGAGAUACACUUUUAAGAGCUAAGAGAUAAGGAGAUGUAAUCAGUUACAACGAAUCCAAGAUUAUUCUAAAAGCGUAAGAAACUCACAGAGUAGGUACUAAAGAGUAAUAUAAAUAAGUAACAAAGCACAGAAAAAAAUCAUGAAGUACAAGCAAAAUUAAUAGAUGGAACAACUAUUGGGGAUUCUUUCGAGCCUUUUAAGGAAUCCAAUGACUAGAGAGAGAGAUAUACACUGUGCAGAACCUGAGAGAGCUUUAGAUUUCCCCCUUUUCAUAAUGGAAUACUGAGCUAGAAAAAUUUCCUUUUUUCUUUAAAAAAAAAUCGUACUCUCUGCAUAUGAAGCUUCGGAAAGGACAAAAUCAUGAACCUUAAAGUCACCCCAUUUUGAAGAAGAAGUGUUUCCAAAGACAAAAGGAAGGCUGAAUCAUCAUCAAAUCAACUAAAUCCACAAUUCCCCACCCCCCCAUUUGAUUUGACAAUAGUUAAAAAGAGAAAACAAACAAAAAGCCAAGCCUGGUGAACUAAUCAAACCCAACUUUCUAUCAUAUGCAAAUAAUAAUCAUCUCAACUUACUACAGUUACAAAUAAUUAUUUUGAAUAUGAACACAAAAUCAAGCAUAGUAGUCUAGUGGCAUGGGAGCUUUGGGUUGUUAACUAACCUAGGUUCAAAGACAUUCCACUAUACUCCAUUGUGUGGCUACAUAGAUAUAACCAAAGGACUACAACCCAUUUGAAUAUUCAGGGAGAGGGUCAAUCCGUAAGUUACAUUUUAGAUUAGUUCGUCUCAAUUCAUGGUCUUUGGAAUACCCCAAAUUAUUAUUUUUUAAACAUGAACACAACCCUACUUGCGAAAAGUAAUGACACAAUAAAGUAUACAACGCACAUUUUCCAUUCUGUUACUUCUUAUUUUUGAAAUUGUGUCCACCUCCACGUGACUAAUAAAGGACUCUGUAUUUUUGCAAUUUAUAUGAUUUGUCCGCAAACUAGCAUGGGCCUAGAUGACGAAUCGCGUAGUCGACUGGACAUGAGUGGUUACAAACCAAACAUCAAUUGUGGUGGAAUCGAACUGAAUGUAUAAUGCUAAAUAAAAUAAAACACCCAAACCCAUAGUUUUUGUUUUAACACGACAGAUCCAUACAAGCAAGUGUUAAUGCAGACAAGAUAAAGAACUUGCUACCAAUACAAAUGUUACAUCUCAGUGUCGCACAACGAACAUUACACUACGCCAAAGGCGCAUGUAUAUAGAUUUUACAAUACACACAGACAGACCUCAGUCUCAAUUGAGACAGAUGAUUACUGAUUCCAACUCUUUUUUUUUUUUCUCAACUAGGACAUAUAUAUACUUAUUACAUAAUAGAAGUGAUAUUUGAUAAAGUGGUGAAGUGUUCUUCCAAGGUCACCCCCUCAUUUCUUGUUUUUCAGGUGUUGCCAGUUGGUUCAGUUGCAGUUGGUGUCGUAGCUUGCAAGACCGAUUAGUUCCGGUCCCUCCAACCUCGAGUUGUUCUCAAAGCUGCAACAAUUGUUUUUGAGUUAUUAGGAUCAAAAUGCUCAUAUGCAACUUUUAUCAGUUUAUAUAGAAUAUCAAAGAAGCUUUGUAAUAUGGGUGAGAAG